GCUUAACCGUAAACUUUUAUUUACUAAUACAUCGCCAGAGAAUUACGAGCUAAGCUUAAAACCCAAAGGACUUGACGGUGUCCCAUAUCCCCCUAGAGGAGCCUGUCCCAUAAUCGAUGAUCCCCGCUUUACCUUACCAUUUUUUGCCUUUCAGCUUGUAUACUUCCGUCAUGCUUACCACGUGAGCGACCCUAAGUAAGCCCAAUGUUCUAACCAAACAAUUAGUCAGGUCAAGGUGCAGCAGAUAAAAUGGCGGGAGAUGGGCUACACUUUCUAUUGUAGAAGACACGGAUGAUCAUCAUGCAACGAGAUCAGAAGGUGGAUUUAGUAGUAAAAAGAAAGAAGAGUGUUCUUUUUAACCCGGCACUGGGGCGUGUACACACCGCCCGUCACCCUCUUCGAAAAUUUAACGUAAAGUACUUAACACCUAAAUAUCAUAGAGAAGAGGCAAGUC
rnacentral:rRNA from 1 species